AAGUAUUCUAGCCAGACGCCUCACUGUGCAAGCGGCAGGCUUGCGUACCAGAAGCCCAGAGAAUAAAGAUGCGAUUGUAGAUGAGGUAGAGAAGAAAGUGUGGCCAGCCAUCGAGCAAGGCAAAGUGAAGCCUGUGGUUUACAAGUAUCUUCCUCUAGCCGAAGCGGCAGAGGGCCACCAGCUCAUGGAAAGCAGCCAGCAUGUCGGGAAGAUUCUACUUGUCACAUGAAGUUGUGGACUUGUAUUGUCCUGUCCAGUUAAGUUGCGUGAGAGGGCCGCUUGUUUAUGUGAAUGAGAAGAAUGCACAGUACCUGUUACAAUCAAAUGGCAGAGACAACUGAAAUAGACUAAAUAACUACCCUGUUCUUCGCUUUUGCUGAGAGAUAUAAAAGCCCUUCGGAGGGAAAAUAGAAGAAAGCUUAGCAACAAGCCAAUCAAAGGAAAUUACUCUUUAUGAAUUACAACCGUUAACUGCAUAGAGUUUCGACGGCCAAAAUCUUUAGGACCAGCAGGCACGGUAUACAUGGAAUUUUAUUCGUUGGACAUAAACAAGGCAAACAAGGAGGGCGUUGGGUUUUUAUAUUUGUAAGUUUUCUCGAGUGAGUUAUUGAGUUAUUGUGAGAUAAUAAAUGUUGAUCUGUUUUGGGCGCAAUUGGAGGCUGGAAAAUACCCGAUUGAUUAGGUGAUUGUAAACUUUGAAUUCUUCGAAUUUGUAGGGGAUUUCUUGGCGUCU